AUAAUACUCCCUCCGUCUGGAAAUACUUGUCAUCAAAAUGGAUAAAAGGAGAUGUAUCUAGAUGUAUUUUAGUUCUAGAUACAUCUCUUUUUAUUCAUUUUGAUGACAAGUAUUUUCGAACGGAGGGAGUAUAUG
rnacentral:pre_miRNA from 1 species